GACUACAGGGGUAUCUAAGCCUGUUUGAUCCCCACGCUUUCGCACCUCAGCGUCAGUAUCGAGCCAGGAGGCCGCCUUCGCCACCGGUAUUCCUCCAUAUAUCUACGCAUUUCACCGCUACACAUGGAAUUCUACCUCCCUCUCUCGUACUCUAGUCGGCCAGUAUCAACUGCAGUUCCCAGGUUGAGCCCGGGGCUUUCACAGCUGACUUAACAAACCGCCUACGCGCGCUUUACGCCCAGUAAUUCCGAUUAACGCUCGCACCCUCCGUAUUACCGCGGCUGCUGGCACGGAGUUAGCCGGUGCUUCUUCUCAAGGUAAUGUCACGGCUGGCCGCUAUUAACGACCAACUUUUCUUCCCAAGUGAAAGUGCUUUACAACCCGAAGGCCUUCUUCACACACGCGGCAUGGCUGGAUCAGGCUUGCGCCCAUUGUCCAAUAUUCCCCACUGCAGCCCCCCGUAGG
rnacentral:rRNA from 1 species